UCCAUUUUAUUGAGGUGAUAGAACAUGUACACACAUAAGUAAAUACAAAGUAAUUUGAGAAAGGAGAAAGCACUAACAGCUGGUGAGGAUCACAAAUGGCUUCUAUGGGAAAGGGCUUGUGAGCUGAGAAACAAAGGAUGGUCUGAUACUUCUGAUAUGAAGUGGCAUACUUCAGGUAAAUGCAUGGAGGUGAAAGAUGGAAAAUUUUGUUUACCAGGUAGUUAGCAAUUCAGUUUGUCUGGAAGUGUGUGAAGGGAAGCAAUGUGAAAUUAGGCUGACUAGGGGAAGAGGGGGGUUAAGCUGGAUUGUGGAGGGCUUUAAGUGAAGGGCUGAGAAGUUUGUAAUUUUUAAGGUAAUAGGGAGGCUCUGAAGGUUUUUGUGCAAAGCAGUAAGCUGGCCAGGUCUAUGUUUUAGGAAGCUUAUUUUGACAACUAUGUGGAAAAUCACAGCGUUAAAAAGAUUUAGAUCUUGAAGGGGCCUUGGAGGAUGAAUUGGACAAGGAAAUACUGGAGGUUGAGAGACAAAAUAGAAGGCUUUAACAGUGGUCCAGGUGAGAGGUGAUAAGGCCCUGAACUAGUGUAAUGGCUAUGUGGAUGGCAAGGAAGGGAUAGAUGCAAGAGACAGGAAGGAAUCAACAGGACAUCUCGUUGGGAACGUCUGUCUCUGUCUGCCUGUCCCUACUCAAUUCCCCUUAACCAGAAGUUCCCAACAACCAUCUUUCUGGCUUCAGUCAAAGGCCAACAUCUUUUCCUCCCUAUUUCUCCAGGGAUCAGACAACAGCUCUUCCUGCUCUUGCUCUGAGAUCGACCUCCACAUAUUCAAAGGUCCUCAUUCAGUCCAGUGCUAUUCCUGCUUGGUCCACCCCCUCCUUCCUUAAUCACACCCCAGUACCACCAUCUUGACUCUGCUCUUCCCUUCACUCUACGGCUCCCUGAGAUCUAGGGUAGAAUCAAAUCUAGAUCGAGCACCCUAGGUUCCUUUCUCUCACUGACUUCAAUUAGUUAAUAUACAUUUAUUAAUCACCUGCUACAUGCUAUGUUAUGUGGCAGGCACUGUGCUAGAUAUUGGCAUAUAAAAACAAAAAUGAAAUAAUCAUCUCCUAAGGAGUUUAUAGUCUAGCCAGGAAGUCAAUAUUUAUAUAUACGUAUGCAUAGAUACGCAUACACAUACAUACAAAACAAAGUGAUUCUGGAAGGCACCAGCAGCUGGUUGGGUCAGAAAAUGCUCUUUGGCUGAUCAGGGUAAUUUCAGGCUGGGUCUUUGGUAGCUGUGGUUUGAGUUGUAUUAUUUUCUAUCCCCUCCUCCCCCACGGGAUUGAAGGGAAUAGGAAAUAUUGAGGAGGGGGUGAUUUGGAUAAUCACUGUUCCCAGGGCCUGGGGGUGGGGUACUGUGGAAGUAAAGGCAGAGGAUGGCAGGCUCCUCAAAUCUGGAAACAUUUGCAUAACCCAGAUGGUGAGCCCUGGAAUUUCAAAGAAUUCCCCCUGGGAAGAGGCAGCUGUCUUUCUAGCCCUGCUGGCCUACAGCUGCUGAGCCUGAGAACUGGCUGAAGUGGGAGUGCCCCAGGAGCAUCCUAUCCCUCAAUGAACUCAGGUGGGAGCUCCUAGGUCCUGUAUGGCUAUUUAGACCACAGACUUUCCUUCUCUCUAGACCAUCAGAUUGAAAAUGUACCUUACCCAUUCCCCAGGAAAUUCUAUGGGGGUGGGAGGAAGGUUCAUUACAUCUGGAAACAAGAGCCCAGGGUCUAGGUAAGAGUGACCUUAUCUCAACCAAAAGGAGGCACUCGUUUACCUAGGAACAUGAGAUGAAGACCCACUGGACUAUGUACCCAGGAUGCUAGAGAUUGGAUUCCGGUUGCCCACAGGAAUCCUUGUCAAUGGGUUCAAGUCAGUCAAGUAUGGGGGGUGUGGAGGGGAAUCUGGGGGUCCUAAUAAGGUGUUAGAACGGACCACCUAGAUCCUAAGGAACUUGAGAACCUGAGAGGUCAGCUCCUUCCCCUCACUCCAGAUGAAGUCAGUAGCAUCGAAGUUCCUUUUUUAUUAGAGAAAUAUAUUAUUCCUGAAGCCCAAAGCAUUCUGGCUAUGAUGCCUGGCUGCAGAGUAGGGGGGUGAUAAAGCUGAACAGUCCCUUUCAUCCCUUAGGCCCUGAAAAGGGAAAAGAAAACAAGGGGAGGUCCAACAGCGCAAGAAAGGAGAAACUGGAAGUGGGGACUAAAGGAAGAAGAAACUCCCAAAGCUGGCGGUUAUUAGAAUGAGACAAGGUAUCUACAGUAGAAGGCACUCUGAAGUACUGCAAAAUUGCAAGGUAAAAAGAUGAAAAAAAAAUCACUACAACUUAGCGUUGUUUUGUUUUUUGUUGGUCUCUACCAGUCCAAGGCUACUGUGAAACUCUGUUACAGAUUUGGUCACUUAAUUCCAGAUAAAUUGACUAGUUUGAGUCCCAUUAACUAACAUUUCACCAAGUGGAGUUCAUGCAACAACAUUCAUUCUCUUGGGUUCAGAUCAUUGCCUAAACUACCAUAGUGGUGAAGAUGUAGCAAUAUGUUGAUGGUAAAAAUGAAGCCUAAAGUUCUUCAAAUUUGGUAAAGGGCAGAUCCAUGAGGAAUAUCCCUUCCUUGAGUGAUCCUGGCUCCAGCUUUCAUGCCUCUAGCCACAUUCCAGCAGUAAUAUGCAUGUGGUUACACUAAACUCAAUGACUAUUAUAAUAUUUAAACCUUCAAAUGAAGGGAGACCUAACUUUACAACCGGACAAACCUCAUUUGUAUCAUGGAUCACACUCAUUUACGUUGGUGUCCAUUACAAAGCAGUUCACUACACAGAAAUAAACCAGCUAUACACUUGUUGCAAGAAGCCAGCCUCCUCACUUGGAAAUCAGCCCAAGAGACUUGUCAAGUCAGUAGUACAGACUCCAACCAUUCAAUUAUAAAACUUUUCAGGUCUUCCUUCUCUCUUGCAGGCAUUAUCCUAUCUAACGGCUAUCUUUCCCUUAAUGUCAGGAAGCACUAUGGCUGGUUGGUUGUUUUUUUUUUUUUUGGUCAAAAGGGCAAAUCACAAAUAAAAAUGGGAUAAAAUACAUGCCUAGAAUUUCAAAAAUGCUUAUAGUUUAUCUGAAUAAUGGGGAAGAAAGCAAUGGGGUAGACUUCCCAAAUCUCAAGUACUUCUUUUAUAUGGAAGAUGCAGCAGGUUAGUAUUUACCAAGGGUAUCAUUAUCUUAAUUCAAGACAAAGUUUUCAACACACUAAAUAUAGUUAUAGGCAAAUAAUCUGCAUGGCAAUUAAGUAAUACUUAAGGUACUCCAGUCUUAAUAAGCAGCAGUUAAGAUGGUCCUCAACUCCCCACUGCUAUUAAAAUGCUAAGGGGGAAAAAAAAGAUACUUUUAAAUUUUGGACAGCAAAAAUACAUUUAUUUGUAUGCCAUCUUGGAUUCAGGAAACACACUUUCCCUUAGUAUCAAGCCAACUGUCAGAGUAAAGUAGAGGGGGGGGUGAGGUGCCUGAAAAAUAGAAUCAGUUGAAGCUUUCUUCAUGUAGUUCUAUGUCAGGGAUUCUAAUUCAUUCUAUUCCUUUCACUCCUUUAAAAUCUCUUAAGGUACUUCCUUUUGUCUUGAGGAAACCACUUAGAGUAUAGAAAUUGGCAAGUUAAUGUCACUUUGCUGUAGUCCUAUACAAAGUAUAAUGUUAUAAAAUCAUAUUAGCAAAUGAAAAGUAGUAAUUCUGUACACGGAACUGUAUUGGCUACAAUUUAACACCUGUAUAUACCCAAACCACUAUAAGAGGAAAGGGCAUAGAAUCAUAUCUAGGCUUUUCUGCAGGUCUCUUUCAAAUAGCUACAGCGAUACUCCUGGUAUGUUCGCAUGUAAACAGCUUAAUCAUCUACAGGCAAUUUUUGAUUUUGAGCUCUGUGUGACAUCAUCUCUUUUGCUUAAUUGCUUUGUAAAGACGGAGUCAUCUUUCAGCUGUUCAGUGAUCAAGAACAUGCAUCCCCCCCCCAAAAGGUAAAAACGCAUUCCGCCUCAAACACAAAUGUUUGAGAUUAUCCAAAGUUUAUUGUACCCUUUCGUUAAGGACUUCUAAGACAAGCUAGUAUCAGACUUUAUCUAAUGCUUAAAAAUAAUUGUGAGACUCUACCUAGUGAGAGGAUCUAAAAACUACUAUUUUUGGUAGACAAGAUAAGACACUCAGUAAUAGAGAUAAAAGUCUGCUCAAAUUAAGUUGAAUUUCAGGGGAAAAGUAGCAACUAUACAUCUAUGGCAGCAAUGGAAGGCCUCAUCUUUAUUUCUCCAUAGUACUGUGGUUAGAGUAAUUCAAGUUAGAGAUAGUGCUCAAGCAUAACUAGUUCGAAGCUCAGCAUCACUUUUUUUUCUUCCCCAAAACCUUCCUCCUUUCAUGGAGAGUGGUUAUGAAGGAAAAAACCUCCUCUUAGACAAAGCAGGAUGUGGAAAAUACUAAAUGACAAAAAUAUCAGAAAGAAUGCACGAAAACAAGCCUUGGCUCAAAGUUGCAUGACCAAUGAGGCACUAAGAGAUAAGACAAGUUAAACAAAUUUAAACCAAAAGCAGUGGACAUUUAUUCCUCAGUUUUUUGUGCAAGAGUGUAGAGACGCAUUUGGAAAAUGGAUGGGACAGAACCUCAGAUCUAAAGGUGCUGCUCUGUGGUGACCUGGUUUACAAUUAAAUCCAGAGAAGAAAAACUUGUAACUCACCUAGUUCAUGGAAUAUUUCUGGCAAAGACACUGGUUUACAAGUAAAAUUUCCAACUACAUCUUUUACUAGAGUCAAGUGAAGACUUCAAAAAGUCACAUACAAGUACAAUUUUAAACUGGAUGAACAUCUUGCAAUUGUUAGUGCAAAGUAAUAAUGUAGAUUUCUUCAUUAUGAAAUUGUGCUGACGUUUUGCAGGUUUGUUAAAAUUUACUCUUUUAACAUUUGAUACUCAGUUACAGAGGUUAACUUACUAACAAUAUAAAUGCAUUUGUGUCAUAUCCCACACACGGGAAUGUCAUGAGUUUUCAUGACGUGUUGCUUAGAUUUUCAUUAAUAAAGUAAACUUAUUUGGUUUAACAGUCAUGUUUCUUGCACACUAAACAUUUAAAUUUUAUCGAGGUGCUUUUAAGCUUAUGUUCCGAUCUCAUUUGGUCAAAUUUAACACACAGCCUUUCACAAUGUAAACUGUGAUUGUUUCAUGAUUUUUGAAAUGUAACUGAUCUGAAUUCAGUUGGGGUGGGGGUAAGGGAGGAGGGAGGGUGUAGAAUCCACCACUAAUCUCAGCUAGACAAACUGUUCUUGAAAUUAAAAAAGCCUGUUCACACAAAAUUAUAUGUAAUGACUGUAGUAAUCAGUUUAUUACACAGAUUAAUCAUUCUUGAACGUACAAGCUCCAGAGGAGCAAUUGGGUCUUUAAAUAUACACAAGUAUUUCUGUCCAAUGAAUUUUUACCCUUACAUCCAGAUAGACCUAAGCAGUUAAAAAACAUAAGAAAAAUUAAGAGCUAUUAGCUAUGUAUUAACUGAGAAACCACAUACAAACCAAAAAGUAUUGGGGGGAAAGGGGGUGAUGGAGAAGAGCUGGAAAAAAAAAA